AACCCCUGGCAAUGGGAAAAGAGACAUCUUGUGAUGGUGCUCUUAUGUCAACCAGGGGCAGAGCAGAUGGCAGUUUUUGUUCAUCCUAGCUUGAUGCCUGGCUUGGUGGCCAAAGCUGUUUCAUGCCUAGGGCACACUA